rnacentral:tRNA from 1 species
CCGGUGCGACGGCUCGCGGGACGCCCGGGACGGCUCGGAGCCGUCCGGCUCGGUGGCACUCGGCUUCGGGGUGCCGGGCUUCGGG